CCUGAUGCAGCACGCCGCGUGAGUGAUGAAGGUUUUCGGAUCGUAAAGCUCUGUCUUUGGGGAAGAUAAUGACGGUACCCAAGGAGGAAGCCACGGCUAACUACGUGCCAGCAGCCGCGGUAAUACGUAGGUGGCGAGCGUUAUCCGGAUUUACUGGGCGUAAAGGGAGCGUAGGCGGAUGAUUAAGUGGGAUGUGAAAUACCCGGGCUCAACUUGGGUGCUGCAUUCCAAACUGGUUAUCUAGAGUGCAGGAGAGGAGAGUGGAAUUCCUAGUGUAGCGGUGAAAUGCGUAGAGAUUAGGAAGAACACCAGUGGCGAAGGCGACUCUCUGGACUGUAACUGACGCUGAGGCUCGAAAGCGUGGGGAGCAAACAGGAUUAGAUACC
rnacentral:rRNA from 1 species